GAUGAACGCUGGCGGCGUGCCUAACACAUGCAAGUCGAACGGAGAUUACGGACGGAAGUUUUCGGAUGGAAGACUGUAAUUCUUAGUGGCGGACGGGUGAGUAACGCGUGGGCAACCUGCCCUAUACAGGGGGAUAGCAGCUGGAAACGGCUGGUAAGACCGCAUAAGUCGGCGAGACCGCAUGGUUUUGCCGGGAAAUGAGCAAUCAGGUAUAGGAUGGGCCCGCGUCCGAUUAGCCAGUUGGCAGGGUAAAAGCCUACCAAAGCAACGAUCGGUAGCCGGACUGAGAGGUCGGACGGCCACAUUGGGACUGAGACACGGCCCAAACUCCUACGGGAGGCAGCAGUGGGGGACAUUGCACAAUGGAGGAAACUCUGAUGCAGCGACGCCGCGUGAGUGAAGAAGUAUUUCGGUAUGUAAAGCUCUAUCAGCAGGGAAGAUGAUGACGGUACCUGACUAAGAAGCCCCGGCUAACUACGUG
rnacentral:rRNA from 1 species